CAUGAGCAGCUCUGUGUACACUGAAGAUGAGCUGGAGAUGAGGCAGUACAGGAUGAGAAGCAGCACGCCCAGUGGAGUGAUAUGCAGGGGCAUGGGGCUGGCAGCAGCUGCUGGAGGGGGACUGGGAAGGGUCUUCCCAGAAACUUGAAGGCCCCCUGCUGCAUAGCAGGCUCCCGCAGCCAUGAUAGUCAUUUUUAAGGAUGUUUUUGUGUUAACCUGAAACUUUGAGUGUCUAGUAAAGAACGUGGUGUUUUAAUUCUUCAAGUCAGUUCUUUCUCUGUCUUCUAGAUGGAAAAUGAGGAAAAAGAAGAGAGUGCCAGGGAGACACAUGAGUGAGGAGCCAGCCCAGAAACGCCUGUGCCUGAAGAACGCUUUCUGCUGUUCGGUUUGUGGAACCUGCAUCACCUGCUUCAGCCACAUCUCUCGUGUUACUUUAUCAACCUCAUCCAGCUCUCUGUGCUAAGGUGUCUGUUGUGGGGGACUACAACCGACUCAUCCUGCCAUCUGUCCAGGGGGACCCCAUACAACUUAUUCAGAUUAUGUCCUGUGGAACCCCAUCCAGCUCAUCCAGCCAUCUGUUCUGAGGUACCUCAACCACCUCAUCGUGCUGUCUGGGGGAACCCAAUACAACUUAUUUAGGUGUCUGCCCUUUUCAGCCUCAUCCACCUCAUUCAUGUGUCUGUCCUGAGGAACUUCAACCACCUCAUCCUGCUGUCUGUCCAGGGAGACCCCAUAAAACUCAUUCAGCUGUCUAUCCUGCAGAACCCCAUGCACCUUGUUCAGGUGUCUCCCCUGGGGGUCCCAUCUACCAUGUCCCUGUAUCUGUCCUGGGGCACUUCAUCUUCUUUCUCUAGUUGUGAGGCCUCUGGGACCUCAGCCUUGUCAACUAAGUGGCCUAUUGAACCUCAGCCUACUUCUCUAUCUUAGUGGCUUCCAUUCC
rnacentral:lncRNA from 13 species